rnacentral:lncRNA from 1 species
UUUAAUCCAAAUAUACACUCUAUCACACCAAUUGCACCGCAUUUCAAAGUUAAAUUUUAUUCAACAAUACACUUCAUAAAUUCGUAAACACAUUUUCUUACCAUAUUGUUUAUCUGUUGUGUUUUAAUCUUUCAUGUCUUGAGAGGUUUGAACUAAUUAGUAAAAAUUGGUUACUUUUACUUUUGUUUUAAUCUUUCAUGUCAUUCAAGAUUUGAACAAUAUGGUAAUACUGAUUAGUUUUUUUUAAUCUAAAAUGCUUACUAAAUAUGCUAGGAGGACAAUACAACACAUUUUCUACCACUAUAUAAAGGACACUAUUGUUUAAUUGAUGUAAGGAGAGUUUGAACUUUAAAAGAUAUAAAUUGAUAAAACUAUUUCUUAAAUACAAAGGAAGAAAAAUGGCUGGAAUUAUCAAGUUUAUUCUUACUAUAAUUAUCUUUAUUUCUCUAUUGAUGGUGCCAUCCAACGCUGCAAGUAAGUUAAUUUUUUAAGAUUUAAAAAAUUUCCUUGUUACUUUGUACACAAUGUUUUAUCAAAUAUUAGCUAAACUUUUAUUCUUAUUUUUUCAAUAUAGAAACUGUUAAAUGUAUACAAGAUACAGAUUGUUUACAAUAUCAUAGGUGUAUGCCACCAAUGCUAAUGAAGUGUGACAAUAAACAAUGUAGAUGUGUUCCAGUGACCUAUUUCAUUCGUUAUGUUCCCGUAUGAUUCUUCAUAUUAAGUUCUCAUAUGGUUCUGCAUUUAGUGUUGUACCUAAGAGAUUAUUGUAUUGCUAUAUUAUAAUUUGUUUUUUUAUUUUUCAUUUCAAGAAUUUUGUAGUUAAGUUUAAUUUUAUUUAAAUCGAGUUCUUCUCUUUUAAUUUCAAAAUAUAUUCAUAGAUUUCAUUCCAGGUAUGUAUCAUGGUCAUUUCAAUCCUACCAUCUAUUAGAAUAAUACGUGUAAUAGUUAAGUUGAAUAACUGUUAUAUUGCUUAUAAGUCUGCACGUUUUUUUACAUGUUCAUGUUAUAGUAUCAAUACACUUCCCACCUUCAAUUUUCAUUUCUCUUAUAUUUUAAAUCUUUUAUUGGUCUCAUAUGUACUAUUCAAUUUUAAAAGAUAUGAAAAUAUAGAUAUUCACUAUAAAAAUGUAAAAAUCUAUUGUUAUAAGUGCAUAUUUUAUAGAAGAUUUGUUUAUGUUUCUACUUACUAACUAAAUAUAAUGUGUGGUUAAUAUAUUUUCUAUUUCAAAAGAAAUCUCGUAUAACUAAAUUGAAUUAGAUUAUGUAAGGUUAUAAUUUAUUAUAAAAUUUACAUGUAAUUUAAAAUGAAUAUGUUUCAAAAGACGUUUUUUUAUAUCUUUAAUUUUCUAUGAUUUUGUUGGGUUUUUUUUGAGAGGGGUAUAUAAAUUUGCAUUAUUAUUAUUAUUAUUAUUUUUAUUUUCUAAUUUUUAUAUUUAAAUUGGGGUGUGAGUUUUCUGGUGAGUAUGGGUGGUUGAGAGUUUCGUUAAAUUUAAAUUUAUUAAAUGAUUUAGAUUAUAAAAAAAAGUGUGAGAUAGAUGAAAAUGUAAGGUUUGGGAGAUAAGAAUUUUUUUUAACUGCGUCACAUGUAUAUGUGUGUGAUCAUAUAUGUAUUAAUUGUUUUGAUAUUACAUAUAAUUGGAUAUAAAGGUAAGCUAAUGGAUUAUCAUAGUAUAUUGUUUGUCCAUAACAAUUUAAUUUUGAAGAGUCAUAGUACAUCUUAAAAAACAACAUAGUAAACAUUGUUGUUUGUAAAAAAAAUUAGUGACAGUUAAGAAGAAUUUUUAUAAGGUUCCACAUAAUUAAUGAACUAGAAUAUAAAUAUAAUACAACCUAAGAGUACAUUAAUGAGCUUUGAAUAUGUACUAAUAUACACACAAAAAAGAUAUAAAUUAUGACAUAUCAUCUACAAAAUGAUUUUAACCUUUUGAAAUUUAUAGACCAUGACCAAAACCACCGGCUCACCUCCAAAAGAAUAACACUAAGUUAGCAUCAUAUAUGGAUUAUAAUAUGUUUGACACGCCACACACAAGAGGGAGUGACUCUUGGAUUUAAGAAAAGCAUCUUAUGUUAUCAUUUUUAAAGUUUAAAAAUAUCUUGAUUAAAAUAUUUAUAAAUUAGCAACGGAAAGUAAAUAUGUGAAAAAUUAAGAGUUAAGGGUAAGAGAAAUGAAAACAAAUAUUUAAACAGGUUCAAUCAAGAAGACUUAUUCAUGUCCAUAAUAUUUGAUCUUAAGAGUAUUCAGUAAUACUUAGAGAGUUUUGAGUAGGUUAAAAUCUUGAACCCACUAAUACAAGAAAAAAUGAAGUUUCAAAUUAACUUUCAACCAAACAAUGAACGAUGGAGUGAAGUGGUUAGUCUUCCUUCCAAAGAACGAACUUGAAGUGAUUAGUCUCAAAGCUAAAUCGUGAUUUUCUAUGGACUUGUCUCGAACCAAUAUGAGUUUUUAAUCUAACUAAAUUGGGGUUUUGACCAGACUGACCAUGAACCAAGAUGAGAUUUUUAAUCAUGCUUAUCUUGAACCCAAGUGAGUUUUUAACCAUGUUUAAAUCAUGAACUGAGUUGAUAUUUUGAAUAUGGUUGAUACCAAGCCAAAGUAAGCUUUUAACGUGGGUUGAGCUUAAAAGCCGAACUGACGACUUAGAAACUAAAUCUCCAAACCAAAGCUUUUAAAGGGUUUAACUUUUAAAGAGUGAUGAAUGAGAUACAAGGAUUACUUUUAUGGAUAUGAAAAUGUGAAAGAAAAUGCCUCUAUUUAUAGGCUAAAGCUUUGAUCAAAAAAGGAAAUAUCCAUGAGCCUAAAUUAAUGAGCCAAUCGAUUGACUUCUUGUCCCAACUAAUUGAGAGGCAAAAAUAAACGAUCAUAAAUGCUUAAAAUGGAAAUAAUAGAUACAUAGUUGUUUCCCUUUAUUAAGACAUUGUAACAAUUGAUAAGAACAUCUCUUGCACUAACCUAAUCGAUUGUGUAUACGUGUCAAUCUAUUGGACAAUUCAAAAACAUAUCCAAAACUAUUCUGACAUUUCCUUAUUCAACUAGAACGUCUCUAUAAAAAAUUUAGGAAUGUUUUCUUAAGAAAUAGAGGUUUAAAAAAUUAUGUGUGUGUAUGUAUGUGUGUGUGUGUGAGUGUAAUAUGCUCUUAAAUAUAUUUUGAAUGAUGUCAAUACUAGGUAGUUUAGAUCUUUGUGUAUUUGGACCUUACAAUCUUUGUGAAAAUGUGCAUCAUCAUCAUAGAAUAUGUAAGAUUAGAUUACAUAAGUCAUCAUAUGCCAAAAUAUAAGUUUUUCACAAAACAAUCAUGCAUGGGUCGAUAUAACCUCAGUAUGGGUCGAUACAUACUGAGUGGAAUUUCAAAGAAUUUGGAUCUGCCUUGAAUGGGUUGAUAUAAGGGAGAAAUCGGUUGAUAUAUUAUGCUUAAUGGGUUGACUCAUUCUUGCUUGGGUCGACUCAAUCUGAAAGAUGUUUUCAGAAUUUUCCACUGCCUCUAAUGGGUCAAUACAAAGUUGAAAUGGUUCAAUAUAUUAGGCGAAUGGGUCGACUCUCCUGUGUUUGGAGUGGACUCAUUCUGAAACAUUUAUUUCCCAAAUUAGCUACUGCCUCUAACGUAUCGACUCUAUUUGGUAUCGUAUUGACUCACUCAACUUAUGUAUUGACUCAUUCAAGUUUAGAGUCAAUACAUUAUGAACUAUCAAAAACACAUACCUUCACGGUUGGCAAAGAUGUAUAAUCACUAAGGACCACCUGUUGUUAAGUAGUGUGUGGUUUGUUAAUGGCCAAAUUGUGUAAAUAAUCCAUAGUAUUUUGUGGCUCUUUUCACUUAAUCUAAAUGGAAUAUCUUGUUAGAACCUUAGUUUUAAGUGUAAAUAUGUAGGUUUUAACAUUAUCAUGUAAAUAUCUUUUGUUUGAUCAUUUUGAUGCAAAUUUGUAGGCUUCAAAGCCUAUUGGAAAAAUAAACAAUGUAGAUGUGUUCCAGUGACCUAUUUCAUUCGUUAUGUUCCCGUAUGAUUCUUCAUAUUAAGUUCUCAUAUGGUUCUGCAUUUAGUGUUGUACCUAAGAGAUUAUUGUAUUGCUAUAUCAUAAUUUGUUUUUUUAUUUUUCAUUUCAAGAAUUUUGUAGUUAAGUUUAAUUUUAUUUAAAUCGAGUUCUUCUCUUUUAAUUUCAAAAUAUAUUCAUAGAUUUCAUUCCAGGUAUGUAUCAUGGUCAUUUCAAUCCUACCAUCUAUUAGAAUAACACGUGUAAUAGUUAAGUUGAAUAAUUGUUAUAUUGCUUAUAAGUCUGCACGUUUUUUUACAUGUUCAUGUUAUAGUAUCAAUACACUUCCCACCUUCAAUUUUCAUUUCUCUUAUAUUUUAAUUCUUUUAUUGGUCUCAUAUGUACUAUUCAAUUUUAAAAGAUAUGAAAAUAUAGAUAUUCACUAUAAAAAUGUAAAAAUCUAUUGUUAUAAGUGCAUAUUUAAUAGAAGAUUUGUUUAUGUUUCUA